rnacentral:miRNA from 1 species
GAGGGCAGUGUGUGUUGUGUGG